AUUUUAUUUCACCAAUUUAGAGAGAGCAGUAGACUUGUAAUGAACUGCUAUCGCCUGGUGUGUUUUAUGUUUAUUCUAUUUUUUACGUUUAUAAUUGUUGACGAAGAGGAUUUAUCUACUAAAUGGAGAAUUUCGGAGGGAUUUGCUGCUGCAAAGGUCAGCCAAAAAUAGGCACUUUGGGAAAAUAGCGUUGGGACAAUAUUUACAAUUUUAUUUUAAUUGGUGGUCCUUUUGAUGUCCCAUAAUCCCGCAUUAACUUAAGAAACCUGUGUCAAGGUUACACACUUAAUUCAGAAUUUACUCGUUUUACAUCCAAGUUGCGAAAUUUAAAGUUAAAAUAUACUAGUGGAGAGAAGAAGCAAUUUGGAGAAUUUUCUCAAUGUCAGUCAUUUUUGACAACAUUUAGCAAUUUUGGAUUUUAUCAUCUGAAAUGUGGCAUUUAGUGGAUCAGUGUAUGCGUGUUCAGUCCCGCAUUGUGUGAAGCACAAGGCCUGUACAUAUACGUCUCUAGGUGCUUUGAUUCAAUGUGGCAUUUGGUGGAUCAGUGUAUGCGUGUUCAGUCCCGCAUUGGAUGAAGCACAAGGCCUGUACGUGUACGUGUCUAGGUGCUUUGCUUCAAUGUGGCAUUUAAUGGAUCAGUGUAUGCACAUUCAGUCGCGCAUUGGAUGAAGCACACAGUCUGUACGUGUAAGUGUCUAGGUGCUUUGAUUCAAUGUGGCAUUUAGUGGAUCAGUGCAUGCGUGUUCAGUCCCGCAUUGGAUGAAGCACAAGGCCUGUACGUGUACGUGUCUAGGUGCUUUGCUUCAAUGUGGCAUUUAAUGGAUCAGUGUAUGCACAUUCAGUCGCGCAUUGGAUGAAGCACACAGUCUGUACGUGUAAGUGUCUAGGUGCUUUGAUUCAAUGUGGCAUUUAGUGGAUCAGUGCAUGCGUGUUCAGUCCCGCAUUGGAUGAAGCACAAGGCCUGUACGUGUACGUGUCUAGGUGCUUUGCUUCAAUGUGGCAUUUAAUGGAUCAGUGUAUGCACAUUCAGUCGCGCAUUGGAUGAAGCACACGGCCUGUACGUGUACGUGUCUAGGUGCUUUGAUUCAAUGUGGCAUUUAGUGGAUCAGUGAAUGUGUGUUCAGUCCCGCAUUGUAUGAAGCACAAGGCCUGUACGUGUACGUCUCUAGGUUCUUGAUUCAAUGUGGCAUUUAGUGGAUCAGUGUAUGCGUGUUCAGUCCCGCAUUGUAUGAAGCACACGGCCUGUAUGUGUACGUCUCUAGGUGCUUUGCUUCAAUGUGGCAUUUAGUGGAUCAGUGCAUGCGUGUUCAGUCCCACAUUGUAUGAAGCACAUGGCCUGUACGUGUACGUGUCUAGGUGCUUUGAUUCAAUGUGGCAUUUAGUGGAUCAGUGUAUGCGUGUUCAGUCCCGCAUUGUAUGAAGCACACGGCCUGUACGUGUACGUGUCUAGGUGCUUUGAUUCAAUGUGGCAUUUAGUGGAUCAGUGUAUGCGUGUUCAGUCCCGCAUUGUGUGAAGCACAAGGCCUGUACAUAUACGUCUCUAGGUGCUUUGAUUCAAUGUGGCAUUUAGUGGAUCAGUGUAUGCGUGUUCAGUCCCGCAUUGGAUGAAGCACAAGGCCUGUACGUGUACGUCUCUUGGUGCUUUGCUUCAAUGUGGCAUUUAAUGGAUCAGUGUAUGCACAUUCAGUCCCGCAUUGGAUGAAGCACACGGCCUGUACGUGUAAGUGUCUAGGUGCUUUGAUUCAAUGUGGCAUUUAGUGGAUCAGUGUAUGCGUGUUCAGUCCCGCAUUGUAUGAAGCACAAGGCCUGUACGUGUACGUCUCUAGGUGCUUUGAUUCAAUGUGGCAUUUAGUGGAUCAGUGUAUGCGUGUUCAGUCCUGCAUUGUAUGAAGCACACGGUCUGUACGUGUACGUCUCUAGGUUCUUGAUUCAAUGUGGCAUUUAGUGGAUCAGUGUAUGCGUGUUCAGUCCCGCAUUGUAUAAAGCACAAGGCCUGUACGUGUACGUCUCUAGGUUCUUGAUUCAAUGUGGCAUUUAGUGGAUCAGUGUAUGCGUGUUCAGUCCCGCAUUGUAUGAAGCACACGGCCUGUAUGUGUACGUCUCUAGGUGCUUUGCUUCAAUGUGGCAUUUAGUGGAUCAGUGUAUGCACAUUCAGUCCCGUAUUGUAUGAAGCACACGACCUGUACGUGUACGUGUCUAGGUGCUUUGAUUCAAUGUGGCAUUUAGUGGAUCAGUGUAUGCGUGUUCAGUCCCGCAUUGUAUGAAGCACACGGCCUGUACGUGUACGUCUCUUGGUGCUUUGCUUCAAUGUGGCAUUUAGUGGAUCAGUGUAUGCGUGUUCAGUCCCGCAUUGUAUGAAGCACACGGUCUGUACGUGUACGUCUCUAGGUGCUUUGCUUCAAUGUGGCAUUUAGUGGAUCAGUGUAUGCGUGUUCAGUCCCGCAUUGUAUGAAGCACAAGGCCUGUACGUGUACGUCUCUAGGUUCUUGAUUCAAUGUGGCAUUUAGUGGAUCAGUGUAUGCGUGUUCAGUGCCGCAUUGUAUGAAGCACACGGCCUGUACGUGUACGUCUCUAGGUGCUUUGCUUCAAUGUGGCAUUUAGUGGGUCAGUGUAUGCGUGUUCAGUCCCGCAUUGUAUGAAGCACAUGGCCUGUACGUGUACGUGUCUAGGUGCUUUGAUUCAAUGUGGCAUUUAGUGGAUCAGUGUAUGCGUGUUCAGUCCCGCAUUGUAUGAAGCACAAGGCCUGUACGUGUACGUCUCUAGGUUCUUGAUUCAAUGUGGCAUUUAGUGGAUCAGUGUAUGCGUGUUCAGUCCCGCAUUGUAUGAAGCACACGGCCUGUAUGUGUACGUCUCUAGGUGCUUUGCUUCAAUGUGGCAUUUAGUGGAUCAGUGUAUGCGUGUUCAGUCCCGCAUUGUAUGAAGCACGCGGCCUGUAUGUGUACGUCUCUAGGUGCUUUGCUUCAAUGUUGCAUUUAGUGGAUCAGUGUAUGCGUGUUCAGUCCCGCAUUGUAUGAAGCACACGGUCUGUACGUGUACGUCUCUAGCUGCUUUGAUUCAAUGCGGCAUUUAGUGGAUUGGUGUAUGCGUGUUCAGUCCCGCAUUGUAUGAAGCACACGGCCUGUACGUGUACGUAUCUAGGUGCUUUGCUUCAAUGCGGCAUUUAGUGGAUCAGUGUAUGCGUGUUCAGUCCCGCAUUGUAUGAAGCACACGGCCUGUACGUGUACGUCUCUAGGUGCUUUGCUUCAAUGUGGCAUUUAGUGGAUCAGUGUAUGCGUGUUCAGUCCCGCAUUGUAUGAAGCACACGGCCUGUACGUGUACGUCUCUAGGUGCUUUGCUUCAAUGUGGCAUUUAGUGGAUCAGUGUAUGCGUGUUCAGUCCCGCAUUGUAUGAAGCACACGGCCUGUACGUGUACGUCUCUUGGUGCUUUGAUUCAAUGUGGCAUUUAGUGGAUCAGUGUAUGCACAUUCAGUCCGGCAUUGUAUGAAGCACACGGCCUGUACGUGUACGUCUCUAGGUUCUUGAUUCAAUGUGGCAUUUAGUGGAUCAGUGUAUGCGUGUUCAGUCCCGCAUUGUAUGAAGCACACGGCCUGUACGUGUACGUCUCUUGGUGCUUUGCUUCAAUGUGGACUAAUCUGCAGUUUUAAUCAAGAGAAUGACAUGGUGAAUUUACGCUGCCUUUGUACUAUACCCACGGCUCAACUAUAAAUCCUCAUAUCUGGGUUAUUAAUGUAAAGUACAUUUAUUUUUUGGCAGAAGCCCAGGAGACAUAGUGGCCUAAUUCCCAUCUCCGUUGGUGCCCACUCUCUUUUAUAUAGAUUUGGUUAACAAACACAAUUAAGUUCAAAAUCAAGCAAUUUGUUUUAUUUUCUGGAAAUAGGCAAAAAUAAUGAUUAAUAUUUAUUACAAUGCUGCCGCCCAUCCCAUGUUUUCCCUAUUAAGGGUUAAUAAGUAUAUAGGGGUGUAUAUAAAAAAUACCCCUCUCUGUCUCAUUAGAGAUAUCUUUGCCAGAAGCUCAUGGAAGCAAGGUGAAAGGCUAGUGUAGGACCUGUCUAGGGGGGGUCUGCCUUGACGUUGGCAGGUGGGCUUGCAUCUAAUGGCCAUUGGAGUAACUAAAUGACCUCCAUUUAUUUAAAUAUACAGAGGGAUUAAGGAGAGAGCGCAGGUAACUUUUUUUCUUUGAUUUUUACUGUAUGUAUCAGGGCUGAUGUGUACUAUAGUCGUUGCUGCCGCCCAGGAGUAAUGGGAGUUUGAGUGCAGGACUUGUUUUUUUUUAAUUUGUAUUAAUAUAUAUUAGUAUUUAUUUAUUUAUUUAUUUAUUUUCUAACAGUAUAAUUAGUCCUUUCACCUAUAAAAGAACGUUUGUUUUUCUGUAGAGUUCCACAUCCGUAAAUGGAUUAAAUAUCACCCGCUUAUUUCAGAUUGGUUGUCCAUGUGGUAUUGAUGGUAUAAUCAGAUAUUAAUAUUAGUCCAUACUAAUUUCUCAUUUGUCUUCCAUUUGACAUUAAAGUUGAUAGAAAAAAUCCCAUCAGCUUAAAAUAUUUCUCUUGCGUGGAACCGGGCCAAUGAAUGACUGGCGUAGACAAUGUGGCCUUCGUAGGAAUGUAACAUCACUGCUUACAUCAACUCCACGCUAAGAGGGCCUGUUUGCUGGUAAACCAUCCCAAGCGUCUCUGAAACAGUUAAAUCAGUUAAACCAGUUUAACGUCAUUUUAUGCAUUUUCUCACAAACGAUCUCAUAUUUUGAUAUCAGCAGUUCAUCCUGAGAAUUUUUACUAUUAAUAUCUUUAUUUUCAGUUUUUUAUGGGCGUUAUCAGAAUUUCAAGCACAACAUCUGGGAAGUCACUGAG